AGUUAGCAUUGGCUGUUUCUAUG
rnacentral:miRNA from 1 species